rnacentral:lncRNA from 1 species
AAAGAAAAUAAGAAGUGAAAUAACAUGAAUUGAUGAGAAAAAAGCAAUUUUAAACAUAACUUGACAAUGCUUAGAGGGAAGAAAAAAGAUAAGAUAAAGAAAAAUAUUCUACCAGACACAUGGGAAUCAGUGACAAGGCCUGACAUAUACAUUACGGGAGCACCAGAAGACGCAGUAGAAUGAAUGUGUCAAUGGCAACAGUUGAAGAUAUACUGAAAAAUUGAUGGACAAAAUGCCAAAGAUUCAUCACGUUCUUUGAACUCCAAGCAGAAUAAAUAGAUAAGUAGAAAGGAAAUCACAUUUAGACAAAUGCAUAGCAAAACUCCAAAGGAGCAAGGAAAAAGUCUACAUUUUAAAAAUCAGCUUGGAGUUGAAAACAAGGCUACAGUCCGCAAGUCAUGAUACCACGAUAAACAUUUUAAAAGAGGAAAAUUUAAGAAAAUCCCAGUGUAUUCACCUAUGAAGUGUAAAGUCAUGAACAACAUGAGAACAAUGCAACUAUGGCACACAUUUAGACGCUGUUACGAGUAACAACAAAAAAAAUUUUGCAGCGUUUGAAAUUAUAUUCAGCGUAACUUUUUGUACUUAUAUACACUACUACUGUAUAAAUUUAAAAAAUUAAUGUCAUUAAUUUCCUCUAAAAAGUGAUUAUUUUUAAUUGGGCUAGUUUGCCUGCCAGGAAAACUUUCAUGUACAUUUUGUUGAUUCAAAUCAAUAAAAAUCCAGGAAUAAUGUGAGCUAAUUAUGCUUUAAAAUGUGAAUAUAAUAUUU